CCGCACUGCCGCUAUCCCCGGUGCCGCAACGCCGCCCCUCGCCAGCCGGCGCGGCUCCCCUUACCCAGGCAGUAGCCCACCGGUGCCUCUCACCCCCGCACACGCCGGCAACCCCUGCCCCACAAGGCCCUCGACGACCCACAGCCACCUUUCUCGCACCUCCAUGCCCUCAUCUCCGCCCAGCCGCUCCUCCUCUGCUACCCCACGUAGGCCGCCGAUCCUCUUUUGACGGACGCGAGACCAGGCCGCAGCCCCCGCCACCCCUCCUCUACUACCCCAGGUACGCCUGUGUACAGCGAGGUGCAGACGAGCCGCAUCGCGCACGCGAUGCCCCUCCCCUCCGUCCUCCGCUCCCACUUCACGCUCACUCAAGUGACGGGCAUGCCAGCACCGCCGCGGGAAGCCCCGUCGCAGAUGAGGUCGCCAGUUGUUCCCCAACCUGUACUGUACGGCUAGCCGCGGUGCCAUCGGCCAAGCCGGCUAUUUAGCCGCUCAAGAUCGGCGUCAUGCUUUCUGGUGGCCAGGCUCCAGGGGGCAACAAUGUGAUCUGCUGCAUCUUUGGUUGUGCUCCUGCUGGGAUGUUCUUCCCCUGCCCCAGGCUGUGGUCGCAGCCCUACUGCUGGAUCAUGUAAGCUGGUGCUUGAGAUUGCGACAGCCAAACAGACAACACGGACGCCGCUGCCGCCCGCCGCUCCUCAUCGGCUGCACCUACGAAGCUGCUCCUAAUUAAGGCAUUAAUUGCCGCAAUAGGAGGAGCGCUAAGGAAGGCGCAUCCGACACGUGUUUGCGGUGGCCGCGAAGGCCGGAGAAGAUGAUGGGUUCACACCAAGUUUCUGUGACCCUCUAGAAUAACUAGAAGAUUGGGAUCCAUGACUUCUACAUCGAUCAAAGGUUGGAUCUUUUAGCAGUUUGUUGUUGGGCGUGCCUACUUAAUUACUAAUUUGAUUUGAUAAUUCAGCCGGGAACUGCCGAUAGGGUGUGAAUGAAGUCGUUAAUAUGAUUUCUUUUGUGUGUGUGCUACUGAUGAUAGAUCUCUAAACGUGCAUUUCUCUACUAUGGUUGUCUAUGAGAGCUGUUGCGGUGGAUAAGGCCGACCUGCACCGAUGUAAACUUCAGAUUGAGCUUACAACAAGGCGAGGGACAAACUUGAUUUCUGCAUGAGUUACAUCUUGUAAUGGUAAUGUAUCAUGUUGUGUUCCUGGACUACCAACAUUUCAGAAUGAUGAGCAUUAUGCAUCAGAUUUUUCUCUGGAUGACAAUUGGGAUGGUGGUUGCUUGACUAAAUGAUUUAAAGGCGUAAAUUAAUUAGAGAACAUGGCAUGUGUUCUAAUUUCUGAACCAUAUAGUUCACAUUAAUAUUUUGAAGCUGCAGUAUAUUGUUUUUUAAGUUUGCCACUAACUGUCCCUACACAUGUACAUGCUAAAUUUGUAGCAUUGUUACCUUACAAUAAAAGGAAUCAGAUAAAAAUAAGUAGAUGUAACAACAAAGUAAAUUUUCGUAACAUGUACGACUUCCAAAUUUAUAUUCGAGCUCAUUGCCAGUUCAAAUACGUCUCUUUUGAUGUUAUUAGCGAUGUAAUAAAUUGCUAUAUAUUUUUCCAUUUUAUACAUCAUUGCAAUUAAAAUAAUUUGGUUGACACUGCUUUGGUUAUUGGUUAGGUCUCCAGUGUAAUCUGACAUUGUUUAUGAUGGAAUAGCUUGCUUCUCCAGUCUUCACAACUGAGUUUUGUUUACAUUCAGUCCUAUGUUACUUUAGGAGAAUUCACAGUAGCAUACCUACAAAGCGCAUGCUUUCUCUGAACUUUGUAGCUAAACUAUCUGUUAGCAUAUAUUGCCCUAUGUUACUUUAGGGGAAUUCACAAUGUAGUAUACCUGCAGGUGCUAACUUUCCCUCAACUUUGUAGCUGAACCGUCUGU